AACGAACGCUGGCGGCAUGCCUAACACAUGCAAGUCGAACGAGACCUUCGGGUCUAGUUGCGCACGGGUGCGUAACGCGUGGGAACCUGCCCUUAGGUUCGGAAUAACUCCCCGAAAGGGGUGCUAAUACCGGAUAAUGUCUUCGGACCAAAGAUUUAUCGCCGUUGGAUGGGCCCGCGUUGGAUUAGCUAGUUGGUAGGGUAACAGCCUACCAAGGCGACGAUCCAUAGCUGGUCUGAGAGGAUGAUCAGCCACACUGGGACUGAGACACGGCCCAGACUCCUACGGGCGGCAGCAGUGGGGAAUGUUGGACAAGGGGCAAAAGCCUAAUCCAGCAAUGCCGCGUGAGUGAUGAAGGCCUUAGGGUUGUAAAGCUCUUUUACCCGGGAUGAUAAUGACAGUACCGGGAGAAUAAGCUCCGGCUAACUCCGUG
rnacentral:rRNA from 1 species